UACGUAGGGUGCAAGCGUUGUCCGGAAUUAUUGGGCGUAAAGAGCUCGUAGGCGGUUUGUCGCGUCUGCUGUGAAAAUCCAGGGCUUAACCCUGGACCUGCAGUGGGUACGGGCAGACUAGAGUGCGGUAGGGGAGAUCGGAAUUCCUGGUGUAGCGGUGAAAUGCGCAGAUAUCAGGAGGAACACCGGUGGCGAAGGCGGCGACCUGGACAGGUACUGACACUCAACUACGAAAGCGUGGGGAGCAAACAGG
rnacentral:rRNA from 1 species